rnacentral:rRNA from 1 species
AACUUACUUAGCUUGCUUUGAAAGUUUCUAGUGGCGAACGGGUGAGUAACACGUGAGUUACCUGCCUCGAAGUGGGAGAUAGCCCGGGGAAACUCAGAUUAAUACCCCAUGUAAUCGUAAGAUUAAAGGCGGCUUCGGCUGUCGCUUCGAGAUGGGCUCGCGGCCUAUCAGUUAGUUGGUGAGGUAAAAGCUCACCAAGACGAUGACGGGUAGCUGGUCUGAGAGGACGACCAGUCACACUGGAACUGAGACACGGUCCAGACACCUACGGGUGGCAGCAGUCGAGAAUCAUUCGCAAUGGACGAAAGUCUGACGGUGCGACGCCGCGUGGAGGAUGAAGGCCCUAGGGUCGUAAACUCCUGUCAUCAGGGAGUAAUUACUUAUGUAGUAACUGACAUAGGUCUUGAUAGUACCUGAAGAGGAAGGGACGGCAAACUUCGUGCCAGCAGCCGCGGUAAUACGAAGGUCCCAAGCGUUGUUCGGAUUUACUGGGCGUAAAGCGUCUGUAGGCGGGAUGGUAAGUCAGAUGUGAAAUCCCGGGGCUCAACCCCGGAACUGCAUCCGAUACUGCCAACCUAGAGGGUCGGAGGGGAGUCUGGAAUUCUCGGUGUAGCAGUGAAAUGCGUAGAUAUCGAGAGGAACACUCGUGGCGAAGGCGAGACUCUGGACGACACCUGACGCUGAGAGACGAAGGCCAGGGUAGCGAAAAGGAUUAGAUACCCUUGUAGUCCUGGCAGUAAACGGUGCACGCUUGGUGUGGGAAGGUUCGACCCUUUCCGUGCCGGAGCUAACGCGUUAAGCGUGCCGCCUGGGGAGUACGGUCGCAAGAUUAAAACUCAAAGAAAUUGACGGGGACCCGCACAAGCGGUGGAGCAUGUGGCUUAAUUCGAUGCAACGCGAAGAACCUUACCUGGGCUUGACAUGUUAGUCGUAGAUUUGUGAAAGCUUAUCGUCACUUCGGGUGGACUAUCACAGGUGCUGCAUGGCUGUCGUCAGCU